rnacentral:rRNA from 1 species
GACGAACGCUGGCGGCGUGCCUAAUACAUGCAAGUCGAACGCACAGUUUAUACCGUAGCUUGCUACACCAUAAACUGUGAGUUGCGAAUGGGUGAGUAACGCGUAGGUAACCUGCCUGGUAGCGGGGGAUAACUAUUGGAAACGAUAGCUAAUACCGCAUAAUAUUGAUUAUUGCAUGAUAAUUGAUUGAAAGAUGCUAUUGCAUCACUACCAGAUGGACCUGCGUUGUAUUAGCUAGUAGGUGAGGUAACGGCUCACCUAGGCGACGAUACAUAGCCGACCUGAGAGGGUGAUCGGCCACACUGGGACUGAGACACGGCCCAGACUCCUACGGGAGGCAGCAGUAGGGAAUCUUCGGCAAUGGACGAAAGUCUGACCGAGCAACGCCGCGUGAGUGAAGAAGGGUUUCGGAUCGUAAAGCUCUGUUGUAAGAGAAGAACGGGUGUGAGAGUGGAAAGUUCACACUGUGACGGUAUCUUACCAGAAAGGGACGGCUAACUACGUG